UGCAUAUGCGCUAAGUCACUUCAGUCGUGUCUGACUCUUGUCACCCCAGGGAUGAUAGCCCACCACUCCUCCAUGGAAUUCUCCAGGCAAGAAUAUGGGAGUGGGUAGCCAUUCCCUUCUCCAGGGGAUCUUCCCAACCUAGGGAUUGAACCUGGGUCUCCUGCAUUGCAGGCGGAUUC